UACGUAGGGCGCGAGCGUUAAUCGGAAUUACUGGGCGUAAAGGGUGCGCAGGCGGCGUCGCAAGUCAGGCGUGAAAUCCCCGGGCUUAACCUGGGAACUGCACUUGAAACUACGAUGCUGGAGUAUGGCAGAGGGAGGUGGAAUUCCACGUGUAGCGGUGAAAUGCGUAGAGAUGUGGAGGAACACCGAUGGCGAAGGCAGCCUCCUGGGCCAAUACUGACGCUCAUGCACGAAAGCGUGGGGAGCAAACAGG
rnacentral:rRNA from 1 species